rnacentral:lncRNA from 1 species
CAGCUUCCAGAAUAGCACCUGGGGAAUGUACUCUGACUGCUCUGGUGCAUUCAUGAGAAACAGAGCACGGAAAAUCUGAAUACAGAUCAGAAACAGAGAGCAAACAGUGUUGUCUCAGGUCUGCGUCUUCUGACUCAGGCACCAGUGGGGCUGUUACAGGGUUGCCAAGACUUCCUGCUGCUAAUUCUUUCCAUCAGUACUGAUUAGGAAGGAGGGAAGAGGAAUGAGCUGGCGACAAUAUUUUUCCUCAUUUGCAGGUAGAAACUAUGACACCCAAGUCCAGGAGCACAGCUGCUGUGCAGAGGAAAGCAUCAGUGCCUCCCGAAGCCACUGGUACAAAUGGCACCUGGAGGGAAGAUCCCAGGCCAGCACACACCCUUCCAUAGCAGUCCUAGUUGUGGCCACAGCAAAUGUUGCAGGAGUCUGA